CUGAACAUUGAGCCUUGAUGUGUAGGAUAGGUGGGAGGCUUUGAAGUGUGGACGCCAGUCUGCAUGGAGCCGACCUUGAAAUACCACCCUUUAAUGUUUGAUGUUCUAACGUGGACCCGUGAUCCGGGUUGCGGACAGUGUCUGGUGGGUAGUUUGACUGGGGCGGUCUCCUCCUAAAGAGUAACGGAGGAGCACGAAGGUUGGCUAAUCCUGGUCGGACAUCAGGAGGUUAGUGCAAUGGCAUAAGCCAGCUUGACUGCGAGCGUGACGGCGCGAGCAGGUGCGAAAGCAGGUCAUAGUGAUCCGGUGGUUCUGAAUGGAAGGGCCAUCGCUCAACGGAUAAAAGGUACUCCGGGGAUAACAGGCUGAUACCGCCCAAGAGUUCAUAUCGACGGCGGUGUUUGGCACCUCGAUGUCGGCUCAUCACAUCCUGGGGCUGAAGUAGGUCCCAAGGGUAUGGCUGUUCGCCAUUUAAAGUGGUACGCGAGCUGGGUUUAGAACGUCGUGAGACAGUUCGGUCCCUAUCUGCCGUGGGCGCUGGAGAACUGAGGGGGGCUGCUCCUAGUACGAGAGGACCGGAGUGGACGCAUCACUGGUGUUCGGGUUGUCAUGCCAAUGGCACUGCCCGGUAGCUAAAUGCGGAAGAGAUAAGUGCUGAAAGCAUCUAAGCACGAAACUUGCCCCGA
rnacentral:rRNA from 1 species